rfam:Erinaceus europaeus unplaced genomic scaffold scaffold00660, whole genome shotgun sequence
GGCGGGACAGCGGGCAACGGAAUCCCAAAAGCAGCUGUUGUCUCCAGAGCAUUCCAGCUGCGCUUGGAUUUCGUUCCCCGCUCUCCUGCCC